rnacentral:snRNA from 13 species
GUUCUUCCGAGAACAUAUACUAAAAUUGGAACAAUACAGAGAAGAUUAUUAUGCC